rnacentral:rRNA from 1 species
UACGUAGGUGGCAAGCGUUAUCCGGAAUUAUUGGGCGUAAAGCGCGCGCAGGUGGUUUCUUAAGUCUGAUGUGAAAGCCCACGGCUCAACCGUGGAGGGUCAUUGGAAACUGGGAGACUUGAGUGCAGAAGAGGAAAGUGGAAUUCCAUGUGUAGCGGUGAAAUGCGUAGAUAUCUGGAGGAACACCGGUGGCGAAGGCGGCAUCCUGGACCAACACUGACGCUGAGUGAGCGAAAGCCAGGGGAGCAAACGGGG